rnacentral:rRNA from 1 species
UACGUAGGUGGCAAGCGUUGUCCGGAUUUAUUGGGCGUAAAGCGCGCGCAGGCGGUUGUUUAAGUCUGAUGUGAAAGCCCACAGCUUAACCGGGGAAGGGCAUUGGAAACUUGGGAACUUGAGUGCAGAAGAGGAGAGCGGAAUUCCACGUGUAGCGGUGAAAUGCGUAGAGAUGUGGAGGAACACCAGUGGCGAAGGCGGCUCUCUGGUCUGUAACUGACGCUGAGGCGCGAAAGCGUGGGGAGCAAACAGG